AAGAGACGUUGCCCUUCGGGGUAUACCUCCCACCCUUUGUUUAUUAUACCUUUGUUGCUUUGGCAGGCCCGUCCUCGGACCACCGGCUUCUGCUGGUCAGUGCCCGCCAGAGGACCCUAAAACUCUGUUUGUUAAUAUUGUCUGAGUACUAUAUAAUAGUUA
rnacentral:misc_RNA from 1 species